rnacentral:rRNA from 1 species
UACGAGGGGGGCGAGCGUUGUUCGGAAUUAUUGGGCGUAAAAGGUGCGUAGGCGGUUUGGUAAGUCUUAUGUGAAAUCUAUGGGCUCAACUCAUAGUCUGCAUGAGAAACUGCCGGGCUUGAGUAUGGGAGAGGUGAGUGGAAUUCCUGGUGUAGCGGUGAAAUGCGUAGAUAUCAGGAGGAACACCUGUGGCGAAAGCGGCUCACUGGACCAUAACUGACGCUGAUGCACGAAAGCUAGGGGAGCAAACAGG